rnacentral:rRNA from 1 species
ACCUUCGGGCCUCUUGCCAUCAGAUGUGCCCAGAUGGGAUUAGCUUGUUGGUGAGGUAACGGCUCACCAAGGCGACGAUCCCUAGCUGGUCUGAGAGGAUGACCAGCCACACUGGAACUGAGACACGGUCCAGACUCCUACGGGAGGCAGCAGUGGGGAAUAUUGCACAAUGGGCGCAAGCCUGAUGCAGCCAUGCCGCGUGUAUGAAGAAGGCCUUCGGGUUGUAAAGUACUUUCAGCGGGGAGGAAGGUGUUGUGGUUAAUAACCGCAGCAAUUGACGUUACCCGCAGAAGAAGCACCGGCUAACU